rnacentral:rRNA from 1 species
CCUACGGGAGGCAGCAGUGGGGAAUUUUGGACAAUGGGGGAAACCCUGAUCCAGCAAUGCCGCGUGUGUGAAGAAGGCCUUCGGGUUGUAAAGCACUUUUAUUCGGAGAGAAAUCCCUUGGGCUAAUACCCUGAGGGUCUGACGGUACCGGAUGAAUAAGCGCCGGCUAACUACGUGCCAGCAGCCGCGGUAAUACGUAGGGCGCGAGCGUUAAUCGGAAUUACUGGGCGUAAAGCGUGCGCAGGCGGUUUUGUAAGACAGAUGUGAAAGCCCCGGGCUCAACCUGGGAAUUGCAUUUGUGACUGCAAGGCUAGAGUGUGUCAGAGGGAGGUGGAAUUCCGCGUGUAGCAGUGAAAUGCGUAGAGAUGCGGAGGAACACCGAUGGCGAAGGCAGCCUCCUGGGAUAACACUGACGCUCAUGCACGAAAGCGUGGGGAGCAAACAGGAUUAGAUACCCUGGUAGUCCACGCCCUAAACGAUGUCAACUAGUUGUCGGGAAUUAAAUUUCUUGGUAACGCAGCUAACGCGUGAAGUUGACCGCCUGGGGAUACGGCCGCAAGGUUAAAACNCAAAGGAUUGACGG